UACAGAGGUGGCAAGCGUUGUUCGGAAUUACUGGGCGUAAAGGGCGCGUAGGCGGUCUUGUAAGUCUCGUGUGAAAUCCCUCGGCUUAACUGAGGAACUGCACGGGAUACUGCUUGACUUGAGUUCGGGAGAGGGAAGCGGAAUUCCGGGUGUAGCGGUGAAAUGCGUAGAUAUCCGGAGGAACACCGGUGGCGAAGGCGGCUUCCUGGUCCAGCACCGACGUUCAGGCACGAAAGCGUGGGGAGCAAACAGG
rnacentral:rRNA from 1 species